rnacentral:rRNA from 1 species
UACGAAGGGGGCUAGCGUUGCUCGGAUUGACUGGGCGUAAAGGGCGCGUAGGCGGAUAGUACAGUCAGGCGUGAAAGCCCCGGGCUCAACCUGGGAAUGGCCGUUGAAACUGGCGAACUGGAGUGUGGCAGAGGGGGGUGGAAUUCCGCGUGUAGCAGUGAAAUGCGUAGAGAUGCGGAGGAACACCGAUGGCGAAGGCAGCCCCCUGGGCUGACACUGACGCUCAGGCACAGAA